rnacentral:rRNA from 1 species
ACUUAAAUUGAAGAGUUUGAUCAUGGCUCAGAUUGAACGCUGGCGGCAGGCCUAACACAUGCAAGUCGAGCGGUAGCACAGAGAGCUUGCUCUCGGGUGACGAGCGGCGGACGGGUGAGUAAUGUCUGGGAAACUGCCUGAUGGAGGGGGAUAACUACUGGAAACGGUAGCUAAUACCGCAUAAUGUCGCAAGACCAAAGUGGGGGAUCUUCGGGCCUCAUGCCAUCAGAUGUGCCCAGAUGGGAUUAGCUAGUAGGUGGGGUAACGGCUCACCUAGGCGACGAUCCCUAGCUGGUCUGAGAGGAUGACCAGCCACACUGGAACUGAGACACGGUCCAGACUCCUACGGGAGGCAGCAGUGGGGAAUAUUGCACAAUGGGCGCAAGCCUGAUGCAGCCAUGCCGCGUGUGUGAAGAAGGCCUUCGGGUUGUAAAGCACUUUCAGCGGGGAGGAAGGCGUUAAGGUUAAUAACCUUGGCGAUUGACGUUACCCGCAGAAGAAGCACCGGCUAACUCCGUGCCAGCAGCCGCGGUAAUACGGAGGGUGCAAGCGUUAAUCGGAAUUACUGGGCGUAAAGCGCACGCAGGCGGUCUGUCAAGUCGGAUGUGAAAUCCCCGGGCUCAACCUGGGAACUGCAUUCGAAACUGGCAGGCUAGAGUCUUGUAGAGGGGGGUAGAAUUCCAGGUGUAGCGGUGAAAUGCGUAGAGAUCUGGAGGAAUACCGGUGGCGAAGGCGGCCCCCUGGACAAAGACUGACGCUCAGGUGCGAAAGCGUGGGGAGCAAACAGGAUUAGAUACCCUGGUAGUCCACGCCGUAAACGAUGUCGAUUUGGAGGUUGUGCCCUUGAGGCGUGGCUUCCGGAGCUAACGCGUUAAAUCGACCGCCUGGGGAGUACGGCCGCAAGGUUAAAACUCAAAUGAAUUGACGGGGGCCCGCACAAGCGGUGGAGCAUGUGGUUUAAUUCGAUGCAACGCGAAGAACCUUACCUGGUCUUGACAUCCACAGAACUUUCCAGAGAUGGAUUGGUGCCUUCGGGAACUGUGAGACAGGUGCUGCAUGGCUGUCGUCAGCUCGUGUUGUGAAAUGUUGGGUUAAGUCCCGCAACGAGCGCAACCCUUAUCCUUUGUUGCCAGCGGUUCGGCCGGGAACUCAAAGGAGACUGCCAGUGAUAAACUGGAGGAAGGUGGGGAUGACGUCAAGUCAUCAUGGCCCUUACGACCAGGGCUACACACGUGCUACAAUGGCAUAUACAAAGAGAAGCGACCUCGCGAGAGCAAGCGGACCUCAUAAAGUAUGUCGUAGUCCGGAUUGGAGUCUGCAACUCGACUCCAUGAAGUCGGAAUCGCUAGUAAUCGUAGAUCAGAAUGCUACGGUGAAUACGUUCCCGGGCCUUGUACACACCGCCCGUCACACCAUGGGAGUGGGUUGCAAAAGAAGUAGGUAGCUUAACCUUCGGGAGGGCGCUUACCACUUUGUGAUUCAUGACUGGGGUGAAGUCGUAACAAGGUAACCGUAGGGGAACCUGCGGUUGGAUCACCUCCUUACCUUAAAGAA